GGCGCCGGCUGCGAUUUUUUUGACUGGUAUGAGCCCGCAACAAGCAGUUUUUUGAGGGAGCUGUUGAACGAUCUUCGUGAAGCCGUGUUAUCGCUAAGAAGGGAGAAGAAUGAGCUGCAACGUUGUGUUGAAGAACUGAGGCCAAAGGUAGAAGAGCGGUGCCUAGAAUUAGGGGUAGCAAUGAAUGAAGUGGCACAAUUGAGGCUUGUGGCAGCUGAGAAUGAAGCUAACAUGGCUGCUAUGAGAGCAAUUCAGAUGUGA
rnacentral:lncRNA from 1 species